rnacentral:rRNA from 1 species
AUGAAUCAAGGGGUUUUGCAGAUGCAGAGAAGAGAAGGGAAGCGAAGAUGGAGGGAGAUCGAGCGAGCAGGAGCACGAGCAGGUCCCAGAUCCAUCCGCCACGGCCGUCCUCGACCUGGUGGAGCUCCAUCCCUACUCAAAUCGCCAGCGGCCGUGCGUGAGGAGAGGGCUGCCUGCUCCGUGCCAAUCCUCUCUUCCUACCCUCCCCUCCCCUCACCUCCCCUCCGGCGGCUGCCAGAUCGACGGAUUCGACAAGGGCCUCGAAGGAGAUGCUCGCUUCUGCUCGGCCGUUGCCCACGCUGUGCUUCUGCUCGCUCGCGACGCCGCUGGUGCAAGCACACAAACACAACCAUCCUUGUUGCUGGCCCUACCUUGGAGGCUUAG